rnacentral:tRNA from 1 species
GGCUUGUUGGUCUAGGAGUAUGAUUCUUGCUUAGGGUGUAAGAGGUCCUGGGUUCAAAUCCCAGAAGAGUCC